rnacentral:rRNA from 1 species
AUUGAACGCUGGCGGCAUGCCUUACACAUGCAAGUCGAACGGCAGCACGGGUGCUUGCACCUGGUGGCGAGUGGCGAACGGGUGAGUAAUACAUCGGAACAUGUCCUGUAGUGGGGGAUAGCCCGGCGAAAGCCGGAUUAAUACCGCAUACGAUCUACGGAUGAAAGCGGGGGACCUUCGGGCCUCGCGCUAUAGGGUUGGCCGAUGGCUGAUUAGCUAGUUGGUGGGGUAAAGGCCUACCAAGGCGACGAUCAGUAGCUGGUCUGAGAGGACGACCAGCCACACUAGGACUGAGACACGGCCCAGACGCCUACGGGAGGCAGCAGUGGGGAAUUUUGGACAAUGGGCGAAAGCCUGAUCCAGCAAUGCCGCGUGUGUGAAGAAGGCCUUCGGGUUGUAAAGCACUUUUGUCCGGAAAGAAAUCCUUGGCCCUAAUACGGUCGGGGGAUGACGGUACCGGAAGAAUAAGCACCGGCUAACUACGUG